GGGAGGCUGAAAGACGGAGCAAUCUGUCACUGAGGGAUGGGCCUGCGGCGCAUUAGCUGGUUGGCGGGGUAACGGCCCACCAAGGCGACGAUGCGUAGCCGACCUGAGAGGGUGAACGGCCACACUGGGACUGAGACACGGCCCAGACUCCUACGGGAGGCAGCAGUAGGGAAUCUUCCGCAAUGGGCGAAAGCCUGACGGAGCAACGCCGCGUGAGUGAGGAAGGUUUUCGGAUCGUAAAGUUCUGUUGCCAGGGAAGAACGUUCUUAAGAGUAACUGCUUAAGAAGUGACGGUACCUGAGACGAAAGCCCCGGCUAACUACGUGCCAGCAGCCGCGGUAAUACGUAGGGGGCAAGCGUUGUCCGGAAUUAUUGGGCGUAAAGCGCGCGCAGGCUGCGGUUUAAGUCCGGUGUUUAAACCAUGGGCUCAACCCAUGGUCGCACCGGAAACUGGACGGCUUGAGUACAGAAGAGGACAGUGCAAUUCCACGUGUAACGAUGAAAUGCGUACAGAUGUGGAGGAACACCAGUGGCGAAUGCGACUUUCUCGCCUGUGACUGACGCUCAUGCUCGGAAGCGUGUGGAGCAUACAGGAUUAGAUACCCUGGGAAUCCACGCCGUAAACG
rnacentral:rRNA from 1 species